rnacentral:lncRNA from 1 species
UUGGAACCUUUGUUUUAUCCGUUUCUCUAGGGAAUAGCAAUUUUAUAGUGGUUAGUCCAAUGAUUUAGGGAGUAUUUGCAAUUUUGUUAAAUUAAUGGAUAAAAAAAAAGAACGAUGUCCAUGUACCAUGAAAUGAAGUUUAUCAUAUAUUAAUACAAAGGUAUAAUGUGGUUUUAAAUUUCAAAACAAAAUUAAAGAUUAUAGGCUUCAUAUAUAGAGCAUUUACCGAAAACUCACUAUUUU